rnacentral:rRNA from 1 species
UGUCGUCAGCUCGUGUCGUGAGAUGUUGGGUUAAGUCCCGCAACGAGCGCAACCCUUGUCUUUAAUUGCCAUCAUUUAGUUGGGCACUUUAAAGAGACUGCCGGUGUUAAGCCGGAGGAAGGUGGGGAUGACGUCAAGUCCUCAUGGCCUUUAUGCCCAGGGCUACACACGUGCUACAAUGGGCGGUACAAAGAGAAGCAACCUCGCGAGGGUGAGCAAAUCUCAAAAAGCCGUUCUCAGUUCGGAUUGAAGUCUGCAACUCGACUUCAUGAAGUCGGAAUCGCUAGUAAUCGCGGAUCAGCAUGCCGCGGUGAAUACGUUCCCGGGCCUU